rnacentral:rRNA from 1 species
UUAAGUUAGAAAGGGCGCACGGUGGAUGCCUUGACACUAGGAGUCGAUGAAGGACGGGACUAACGCCGAUAUGCUUCGGGGAGCUGUAAGUAAGCUUUGAUCCGAAGAUUUCCGAAUGGGGAAACCCACCAUACGUAAUGGUAUGGUAUCCUUAUCUGAAUACAUAGGGUAAGGAAGACAGACCCAGGGAACUGAAACAUCUAAGUACCUGGAGGAAGAGAAAGCAAAUGCGAUUUCCUGAGUAGCGGCGAGCGAAACGGAACAUAGCCCAAACCAAGAGGCUUGCCUCUUGGGGUUGUAGGACAUUCUAUACGGAGUUACAAAGGAACGAGGUAGACGAAGCGACCUGGAAAGGUCCGUCGUAGAGGGUAACAACCCCGUAGUCGAAACUUCGUUCUCUCUUGAAUGUAUCCUGAGUACGGCGGAACACGUGAAAUUCCGUCGGAAUCUGGGAGGACCAUCUCCCAAGGCUAAAUACUCCCUAGUGAUCGAUAGUGAACCAGUACCGUGAGGGAAAGGUGAAAAGCACCCCGGAAGGGGAGUGAAAGAGAUCCUGAAACCGUGUGCCUACAAAUAGUCAGAGCCCGUUAACGGGUGAUGGCGUGCCUUUUGUAGAAUGAACCGGCGAGUUACGAUCCCGUGCGAGGUUAAGCUGAAGAGGCGGAGCCGCAGCGAAAGCGAGUCUGAAUAGGGCGUUUAGUACGUGGUCGUAGACCCGAAACCAGGUGAUCUACCCAUGUCCAGGGUGAAGUUCAGGUAACACUGAAUGGAGGCCCGAACCCACGCACGUUGAAAAGUGCGGGGAUGAGGUGUGGGUAGCGGAGAAAUUCCAAUCGAACCUGGAGAUAGCUGGUUCUCCCCGAAAUAGCUUUAGGGCUAGCCUUAAGUGUAAGAGUCUUGGAGGUAGAGCACUGAUUGGACUAGGGGUCCUCAUCGGAUUACCGAAUUCAGUCAAACUCCGAAUGCCAAUGACUUAUCCUUAGGAGUCAGACUGCGAGUGAUAAGAUCCGUAGUCAAAAGGGAAACAGCCCAGACCGCCAGCUAAGGUCCCAAAGUGUGUAUUAAGUGGAAAAGGAUGUGGAGUUGCUUAGACAACUAGGAUGUUGGCUUAGAAGCAGCCACCAUUUAAAGAGUGCGUAAUAGCUCACUAGUCGAGUGACUCUGCGCCGAAAAUGUACCGGGGCUAAAUACACCACCGAAGCUGCGGAUUGAUACCAAUGGUAUCAGUGGUAGGGGAGCGUUCUAAGGACAGUGAAGUCAGACCGGAAGGACUGGUGGAGUGCUUAGAAGUGAGAAUGCCGGUAUGAGUAGCGAAAGACGGGUGAGAAUCCCGUCCACCGAAUGCCUAAGGUUUCCUGAGGAAGGCUCGUCCGCUCAGGGUUAGUCAGGACCUAAGCCGAGGCCGACAGGCGUAGGCGAUGGACAACAGGUUGAUAUUCCUGUACCACCUCUUUAUCGUUUGAGCAAUGGAGGGACGCAGAAGGAUAGAAGAAGCGUGCGAUUGGUUGUGCACGUCCAAGCAGUUAGGCUGAUAAGUAGGCAAAUCCGCUUAUCGUGAAGGCUGAGCUGUGAUGGGGAAGCUCCUUAUGGAGCGAAGUCUUUGAUUCCCCGCUGCCAAGAAAAGCUUCUAGCGAGAUAAAAGGUGCCUGUACCGCAAACCGACACAGGUAGGCGAGGAGAGAAUCCUAAGGUGUGCGAGAGAACUCUGGUUAAGGAACUCGGCAAAAUGACCCCGUAACUUCGGGAGAAGGGGUGCUUUCUUAACGGAAAGCCGCAGUGAAUAGGCCCAAGCGACUGUUUAGCAAAAACACAGCUCUCUGCGAAGCCGUAAGGCGAAGUAUAGGGGGUGACACCUGCCCGGUGCUGGAAGGUUAAGGAGAGGGGUUAGCGUAAGCGAAGCUCUGAACUGAAGCCCCAGUAAACGGCGGCCGUAACUAUAACGGUCCUAAGGUAGCGAAAUUCCUUGUCGGGUAAGUUCCGACCCGCACGAAAGGUGUAACGAUUUGGGCACUGUCUCAACCAGAGACUCGGUGAAAUUAUAGUACCUGUGAAGAUGCAGGUUACCCGCGACAGGACGGAAAGACCCCGUGGAGCUUUACUGUAGCCUGAUAUUGAAUUUUGGUACAGUUUGUACAGGAUAGGCGGGAGCCUUUGAAACCGGAGCGCUAGCUUCGGUGGAGGCGCUGGUGGGAUACCGCCCUGACUGUAUUGAAAUUCUAACCUACGGGUCUUAUCGACCCGGGAGACAGUGUCAGGUGGGCAGUUUGACUGGGGCGGUCGCCUCCUAAAGUGUAACGGAGGCGCCCAAAGGUUCCCUCAGAAUGGUUGGAAAUCAUUCGUAGAGUGCAAAGGCAUAAGGGAGCUUGACUGCGAGACCUACAAGUCGAGCAGGGACGAAAGUCGGGCUUAGUGAUCCGGUGGUUCCGCAUGGAAGGGCCAUCGCUCAACGGAUAAAAGCUACCCCGGGGAUAACAGGCUUAUCUCCCCCAAGAGUCCACAUCGACGGGGAGGUUUGGCACCUCGAUGUCGGCUCAUCGCAUCCUGGGGCUGUAGUCGGUCCCRAGGGUUGGGCUGUUCGCCCAUUAAAGCGGUACGCGAGCUGGGUUCAGAACGUCGUGAGACAGUUCGGUCCCUAUCCGUCGUGGGCGUAGGAAAUUUGAGAGGAGCUGUCCUUAGUACGAGAGGACCGGGAUGGACGCACCGCUGGUGUACCAGUUGUUCUGCCAAGGGCAUAGCUGGGUAGCUAUGUGCGGAAGGGAUAAGUGCUGAAAGCAUCUAAGCAUGAAGCCCCCCUCAAGAUGAGAUUUCCCAUAGCGUAAGCUAGUAAGAUCCCUGAAAGAUGAUCAGGUUGAUAGGUUCGAGGUGGAAGCAUGGUGACAUGUGGAGCUGACGAAUACUAAUAGAUCGAGGACUUAACCAU